UCGCUAUCGGACGUCUAUUGCAUCGGAGAUACGACUUGUGAUUCUUCAAUGUUUCCUCAGUCUGCGAGCUGAGAACAUCUAGGCCUUGUGGAAGACAAAAUUGGAAAAGUUAAAUUCACUUCGUAUGUUAUUUGUUCUGAAAGGAAAAGUUCUGCAGAAGAUAAGACAACCGGGAUUGUCUCACUGCCUUACAACGAGGCAAUGAAUGUUAUUCUUGUGUGCUUACAACAGAAAUUGGAAUGGGAGGUGUUGUAUGUUGUUCUGAGAA
rnacentral:lncRNA from 1 species